AAUUUUGCUGGGGAGCAUUAAAUGCCGCCAUUACUGACGACGAUCCUUUUCUCUCUCCCCCAACUCCUCAUUAAAUUCUCAUUACUGCACUUGCUCCUCCUACUAAUUGCACACCAAUAUUCAUUUAUUUUUAUUAAUCUCUCUCGUUUCCUCUCUAUAUAAACAAUCUCUCUGUAUAAACAAUCCCCUGUAACUCAACCCCUUUAUAUCUUCUUUUCAUCUCUCCUCUCUCCCGUAAUACACACACAAACAUGGCUGCCGAUAUAGGCCAUCUCUUUCGGGUGAUGAACGGCUACAAGGACGAUGGGAUUUCCAAAUCAACGGCUCUCGUUACUCGUGAUUUACUCGGCGGUGGUUCCAACUCGGCUAGCUUUGAUUCUCAAGAAUUAGAACUCGAUUUGCAAGUUCCCUCUGGCUUUGAAAAACGGCUUGAUUUAAAGUCAGGAAAAGUUUAUCUUCAGAGGUGUAACUCUCCAAAUACAACAUCUGCAUCCCCUGAACAUGUGCACCAAACCAAUCAAACAAUGUCAAAGCUUCAAGACUUGAAUUAUCCGCCAGCACCGAAACCUCUGAACCUCUUUGAUGAUACUAGCCUGGACCUCAAACUUGUGCAAUCGGCUCAUGCAAAGUCCACUUCCAAUUAUCAGAGUGUGUGCACUCUUGACAAGGUGAAGUCUGCACUUGAAAGAGCAGAGAAGGAGACGAAUAGGAAGAGGUCCAUGUCAGUGUCACCACCUAGCUUAUCAUCUUCUGUUAUUGAAACUGAAAGUACGGACUCUGAGGAGAAAUCUUUUGCUUCUUUUGCUGCUGGAUGCCCCAGUUGCCUGCUAUAUGUCCUGUUAUCAAAGAGCAACCCUAGAUGCCCUCGAUGCAACAUGAUCGUUCCAUCACCUAUGCCAUUGAAGAAGCCUAGGAUUGAUCUCAACUUAUGAAUCUAAGCAGUUUAGGAACCUUAAACUGGGGUUAAUGAAUAGUUCCUGUCGAGUGUCAACAAUGUCAAGACAUAUAUUCUGAUGUUGCAAGUCCUCAAGUGAGAUCAAUUCAAGCAAGAAUCCGUAGUAGUUAUGUUGAACAUGUUCUUGCUUUUCCUUUGCCACUUGCAUGCCACAGUGAUCGACCAUCUCUUUAAAAAGGUUGUUUCAUGUGAAUAAUAAUGGCAAAGGGAGGAGGACAAUUUACUGAAGCCACAGAAAAAGGUUUUAAGAAAUCUAGGUGAAGACAGGUUUGGUGAGCAAACAACAUAGCAGAGGUAGUUCUUGCUUCUUGUGGAAAACAAUUCAUUAUGCACAUAUGUUGAUAUUUAAUGAGACCCAAGUGGAUCUAGACUAAGAAAUCUAAUCAAAUGGUACUUAGAUGUUUGAGAUGUGGCAUAAAGGGGGUCAGGGGUGGCUGUAUACAACUUACAAGAUGCUGUGAAAUAAACAAUUAUUAUAUGCAUAAUAAUUGAAGCCAAACUCACACUUCACUUUUGCUGCUGCUGCCGCAGUUCAA